GAUGAACGCUAGCUACAGGCUUAACACAUGCAAGUCGAGGGGAAACGACAUCGAAAGCUUGCUUUUGAUGGGCGUCGACCGGCGCACGGGUGAGUAACGCGUAUCCAACCUGCCCAUCACUUGGGAAUAACCUUGCGAAAGUAAGACUAAUACCCAAUGAUAUCCCACGAAGGCAUCGGAAUGGGAUUAAAGAUUUAUCGGUGAUGGAUGGGGAUGCGUCUGAUUAGCUUGUUGGCGGGGUAACGGCCCACCAAGGCAACGAUCAGUAGGGGUUCUGAGGGGAAGGUCCCCCACAGUGGAACUGAGACACGGUCCAAACUCCUACGGGAGGCAGCAGUGAGGAAUAUUGGUCAAUGGGCGAGAGCCUGAACCAGCCAAGUAGCGUGCAGGAAGACGGCCCUAUGGGUUGUAAACUGCUUUUAGAAGGGAAUAAAGUGGGUCACGUGUGACUUUUUGCAUGUACCUGAUGAAUAAGGACCGGCUAAUUCCGUG
rnacentral:rRNA from 1 species